UUACCUACGGGGCGCAGCAGUGGGGGAUAUUGCACAAUGGGGGGAACCCUGAUGCAGCGACGCCGCGUGGGCGAUGGAGUACUUCGGUAUGUAAAGCCCUAUCAGCAGGGAAGAAAAUGACGGUACCUGACUAAGAAGCCCCGGCUAAAUACGUGCCAGCAGCCGCGGUAAUACGUAUGGGGCAAGCGUUAUCCGGAUUUACUGGGUGUAAAGGGAGCGUAGGCGGCAUGGCAAGUCUGAAGUGAAAGCCCGGGGCUCAACCGCGGGACUGCUUUGGAAACUGUUAAGCUGGAGUGCGGGAGGGG
rnacentral:rRNA from 1 species